rnacentral:rRNA from 1 species
UACGUAGGGGGCAAGCGUUGUCCGGAUUUAUUGGGCGUAAAGAGCGUGUAGGCGGCCAUACAGGUCAGCUGUGAAAACUCGAGGCUCAACCUCGAGACGUCGGUUGAAACCGUAUGGCUAGAGUCCGGAAGAGGAGAGUGGAAUUCCCGGUGUAGCGGUGAAAUGCGCAGAUAUCGGGAAGAACACCCGUGGCGAAGGCGGCUCUCUGGGACGGUACUGACGCUGAGAAGCGAAAGCGUGGGGAGCAAACAGG